UGGGGAAUUUUGGACAAUGGGCGAAAGCCUGAUCCAGCAAUGCCGCGUGUGUGAAGAAGGCCUUCGGGUUGUAAAGCACUUUUGUCCGGAAAGAAAUCCUUGGCUCUAAUACAGUCGGGGGAUGACGGUACCGGAAGAAUAAGCACCGGCUAACUACGUGCCAGCAGCCGCGGUAAUACGUAGGGUGCAAGCGUUAAUCGGAAUUACUGGGCGUAAAGCGUGCGCAGGCGGUUUGCUAAGACCGAUGUGAAAUCCCCGGGCUCAACCUGGGAACUGCAUUGGUGACUGGCAGGCUAGAGUAUGGCAGAGGGGGGUAGAAUUCCACGUGUAGCAGUGAAAUGCGUAGAGAUGUGGAGGAAUACCGAUGGCGAAGGCAGCCCCCUGGGCCAAUACUGACGCUCAUGCACGAAAGCGUGGGGAGCAAACAGGAUUAGAUACCCUGGUAGUCCACGCCCUAAACGAUGUCAACUAGUUGUUGGGGAUUCAUUUCCUUAGUAACGUAGCUAACGCGUGAAGUUGACCGCCUGGGGGAGUACGGUCGCAAGAUUAAAACUCAAAGGAAUUGACGGGGUCAUAGCUGUUU
rnacentral:rRNA from 1 species